UCCGCUGCGUCUCACUGUCAUGCGCAGCGGUGGCACUGCCAUGUUGGAUCGAAAGCUCGGUGCACAGGAGUUCAGAUGAAAGUUUAGAGGCUCAAGACGACACUGGAUAACCAUACGAGGAUCGCUUCUUAUUUGUGAGACGCAGGACUUCUCUCAACCAAUUCCCGGCCGAAACACACUCAGGUCUGGAUAUGAAAGGCUCCGGAUACAAGCUGCGGUGAUCAAAGAUCAAUGAACACAUAUUUUCUGUUUAACACUUCCUGAUCACAAGUUCACACCAUCGGAUUGUCAAAAUGAGUGGUCCGCCUUCAGCCAGGAGGCCUCCGAUGAACAUCGGCUCCAUUCUUCUCACACACCAAGAAAACGAAGUGCUCUUCAGCCAUCUGGGCAAGAAAUGCACCAGUUUGUGUUCAGGGGUGGUGCAAGUCUACGUCGCCGACAGGAACUCGUCCUGGGUGAAGAAGUGCUGUGGUGUGGCAUGUCUGGUGAAAGACAGCCCUCUAAGAUCUUACUUUAUCAGGGUGUUUGAUAUAAAAGAGGGUAAAGUGUUGUUUGAUCAAGAACUCUACAACAACUUUUCAAUAAACAGCUCCAGGCCUUACUUUAUCACGUUUGCUGGAGACACGUCCCAGAUCGGUCUUAAUUUUGCCAGCGAGGAGGAAGCCAAGCGCUUCAAGUCUGCAGCAAAUGAACUUCUGGUGAAAAGAGGGAGGAGAACCGAAAAAAGACGUGACCCUCCUAAUGGACCUUCAGGACUUUUAGGACCAACACUUCCAAUGGCAACGGUGGACAUAAAGAACCCCGAGAUCAACAACCAGCGCUAUCAAAAUAACACUCAAAUGAACAACAUCAACCUCCACGCCAACUUCAACAAGAAAGACAAAGCCAAAGGCAAAAACAACAACAAGAAGAAGAAAAUAUCCAAAGCUGAAAUUGGCACUCCGAGCAAUUUUCGGCAUGUUGGGCAUGUAGGAUGGGAUCCCAACACGGGUUUUGAUUUGAAUAACCUGGACCCAGACCUAAAGAACCUGUUUGACAUGUGUGGCAUUUCUGAGGACGAGCUCAAAGACAAAGAGACGUCAAAGGUCAUCUACGACUUCAUUGAGAAGAAAGGAGGAGUAGAGGCUGUGAAGAGUGAACUUCGACGACAAGCACCUCCACCUCCACCUCCACCAUCCAGAGCAGGACUUCCACCUCCUCCACCCCCCCAUAACUCUGGCCCUCCUCCCCCCCCUCCUCCCUCCAGAGGUCGAGGAGCUCCACCUCCACCCCCACCAUCCAGAGCCCCCACCUCAGCUCCCCCCCCUCCUCCACCCUUCCGGCCUGGCGUUGGUGCACCACCUCCCCCCCCCAGCAGAGGUCACGGGUCAGCUCCUCCACCUCCCCAACCCGCCUCCCUGUCUCCACCGGCCCCUCCACCCCUCCGCCAUCAUCUUCAGGUGGAGCUCCACCUCCUCCUCCCCCUCCUCCUCCUCCGGGCCCGCCUCCUCCCGCGCCUCCUCCACUAACGGAGGUUAAUUCAGGGGAUCUGCCGAGGGAAAAUCUGCACUCCUGGACCAGAUUCGAGGAGGAGCGCAGCUGAAGAAGGUGGAGCCGAACAGCAAGCCGGCCGUGUCCACUGGAGGCCGUGGCGCUCUCUUAGACCAAAUACGACUCGGCGUUCAUCUUAAAAAUGUACCGGACUCUAGCGAAUCGGCUCCGGCCUCUCCG